UCUCACCUGCUCACCCUCACCGAACUCUCACCUGCUCACCCUCACCCUCCAUUCUUUUCUCCAAAAAUAGGAUUUUAAUUUAAAUCGUGGCAUCUCUUAAAAUUUCUCUGUGAAACCCUAGAUAUCACAAAGGACCUUUAUGCCGCCACAAUCGAACACCAUGGAAGUCGAUAAACACGUUCUCAAAAACUUUCACAUCACAGCCCUAAAACGCAUUUUCCUUCAAUCUUCUUUUGAUCGGUGGGAUUUUCUAUAAAGGGAAAAGAAGCAUGAGGUUGACCCAUGAACGACUUUGAAGGAUCUCAUUCUCACAAGGCCUCCAUGUCGGCGUCCACCACAAAUUAAUCAUUGUCAUCGUCAUUUGCAUUUCUCAAUGGACUCCUCCUGCAUGACAAAUAACCAGAAGUCUAGAACAUGACAGAAUCUGACUCUACACAUGCUGCUAGAAGGAACAUGCAUGUAGAACCUGAAAGAACACUAAUUGAUGCACAGACGGAUGAGUUUGAGAACAUUCUACAUUCUUUAACAUUAGAGAGAAGUCAGAUAAAGGUGAUUACGUGGUUUUCUUUGGAUAACACCAAUGCAGCUAGC